GCUCGCCGGAAGACCAAGGGUUCCUGUCCAACGUUAAUCGGGGCAGGGUGAGUCGACCCCUAAGGCGAGGCCGAAAGGCGUAGUCGAUGGGAAACGGGUUUAUAUUCCCGUACUUGGUGUUACUGCGAAGGGGGGACGGAGAAGGCUAUGUUGGCCGGGCGACGGUUGUCCCGGUUUAAGAGUGUAGGCUGGUGUUCCAGGUAAAUCCGGUUCACUUUAACACUGAGGCGUGAUGACGAGGCACUACGGUGCUGAAGCAACAAAUGCCCUGCUUCCAGGAAAAGCCUCUAAGCAUCAGGUAACAUCAAAUCGUACCCCAAACCGACACAGGUGGUCAGGUAGAGAAUACCAAGGCGCUUGAGAGAACUCGGGUGAAGGAACUAGG
rnacentral:rRNA from 1 species